rnacentral:rRNA from 1 species
AGCUCCAAUAGCGUAUAUUAAAGUUGUUGCGGUUAAAAAGCUCGUAGUUGGAUUUCUGUCGAGGACAGCCGGUCCACACUUUGUGUGAGUAUCUGGUUUGGCCUUGGCAUCCUCUUGAAAAACAGCUCUGCGCUUGAUUGCGUGGACUGGAGUUCAAGACUUUUACUUUGAGGAAAUUAGAGUGUUCACGGCAGGCAAACGCCUUGAAUAUAUUAGCAUGGAAUAAUAAUAUAGGACCUUUGUUCUAUUUUGUUGGUUUCUAGAGCGAAGGUAAUGAUUAAUAGGGAUAAUUGGGGGCAUUCGUAUUAACGCGUCAGAGGUGGAAUUCUUGGAUUGCGUUACGACGAACUACUGCGAAAGCAUUUGCCAAGGAUGUUUUCA